AUUUGCACGAACUGAGUGUGCGAGUGAUGCUCAGUUGCGCCCGCUUUCGCCGUUCUGUGUGUGUGUGUGUGCGUGUGCAUGCGUUUGUGUGUGCAUGCGUGUAUGUGUGUGUGUAUGUGUGCAUGUGUGUGUAUGUGCGUGCGUGCAUGUGUGUGCGUGCGUGUGAGUGUGUGUACAUGCGUGUGUGUAUAUGUGUGUGCGUGCAUGUGUAUAUGUGUGUGUGCGUGCAUGUGUGUGUGUUGGUGUGGUGUGUGUGUGCAUGUGUGUGUGUGUGUCGGGGUUGGCGCCAUCUCCAGGGGACGCAGCGCGCGAGCCAGACGGACACGGCGCGUGCAGAUCGGCGGCGCGGAAUUACGGACGCGACUUCGGACUCGUCGCCAGCGGAGCUGUAAGCUGCUGAAAGAAACUUGGAAAAAGGACCUUGAAUUUGACCUUGGAAAAGUAUGUCCACCAGCCAGAAUAAAUGACCAGCGCCCGACCGGACGGCCUUCGCUGAAAAUUGAGGGACGAGAUGGGGGGCAUGACAAGGAGCCUUCGGAGUUCCUUCUGCUGACAGCCACCAAUCCUCCCUCCCCCCUCCAGCAACGAGGGGGUGACAGUAAUCACUGCGAGAUUGAUGACCACUUCAGCCCAGCGCCGGGGCCUGUCCCCGCCGAGAUAAAAGACCUUCAGCUGCCAUCUUUUCUUCUCUUUCAGGAAAUGUAGCGAGACAGUAGUGCAAUGCAGGACUGACUUUUAAAGCCUUUUGGACUUCAGUGUUGAAAACGGGAGUGUCGAAGGCAUGGAAGGAAUGGGGUCUUUUUUAAAUAAGCCUCGUGAAGGAGCUUCCCUUCCCUGUACUCAACGCCUUUAGCCAUUAGGCAGUCUGGGCUUGAACUCAUGAACUCAUUUCUGAACUAUGCCAUGAGCUGGAAUAUAAAUAUGCUUUGCAUUUAUCUAAAUUAUUCUAUAAAACUUGAUAUGAAUUAGA
rnacentral:lncRNA from 1 species